GCUCAAAACUCAAAGGACUUGACGGUGUCCCAAACCAACCUAGAGGAGCCUGUCCUAUAAUCGAUACCCCACGCUAUACCUUACCCCUCUUUGUUUAGCCCAGUCUGUAUACCGCCGUCUACCAGUUCGCCUUAUGACAGACCCCAUAACGAACAAACCAGCCUACCGCUCAUACGACAGGUCAAGGUGCAGCCAAUAGAGGGGCAGAGAUGGGCUACAUUUUCUACCCAUUAGAACACUACCACCCGCCAAAUGAAACAUAGGCCCAAAGGCGGAUCUAGCAGUAAGCCGGGCA
rnacentral:rRNA from 1 species